UACGUAGGCAGCAAGCGUUGUUCGGAGUUACUGGGCGUAAAGGGUGCGUAGGCGGUUCUGUAAGUAUGGUGUGAAAUCUCCCGGCUUAACUGGGAGGGUGCGCUAUAAACUGCGGGGCUAGAGUGUGGGAGAGGAAAGUGGAAUUCCUGGUGUAGCGGUGAAAUGCGUAGAUAUCAGGAGGAACACCGGUGGUGUAAACGGCUUUCUGGACCAUAACUGACGCUGAGACACGAAAGCGUGGGUAGCAA
rnacentral:rRNA from 1 species